ACCCAGUUCAGUAUGGAGGUCAGGAGGGACUGAGACCACCCAGUUCAGUAUGGAGAUCAGGAGGGACUGAGACCACCCAGUUCAGUAUGGAGGUCAGGAGGGACUGAGACCACCCAGUUCAGUAUGGAGGUCAGGAGGGACUGAGACCACCCAGUUCAGUAUGGAGGUCAGGAGGGACUGAGACCACCCAGUUCAGUAUGGAGGUCAGGAGGGACUGAGACCACCCAGUUCAGUAUGGAGGUCAGGAGGGACUGAGACCACCCAGUUCAGUAUGGAGGAUACCAGUAUCAAUGCAUUUAUUCCAUGGCAAAAAUGAAAACACGACGCAGACUAAACUCUUUGGUUCUUUAAAAACCUGCUGUAUGUAACAUAUUGUGUUCUAUAACUUGUGAAAUAAAUACAUGUGACUCUGGAUGACAACAUAAUGAUGUUUGUUUCCAACAUUAGAUCUGUUUUCCUAAAGAAUUUAACUGUGGGGAGAGUUUCUUACUAUAUGACUGUUACAGAGU